CCAAUCAACACAGAAGGUUAUAACGCCAGACCCCUAAAGGUGAUUAAUACCUACGGACUAUACAACGGUCAACCUUAUUUAAGGUCGGGAGAAGGAAAAGGGCUAGCUAUCAAAUAAGGCGUACGAAUAGAUAGUAUAACUUUCUA
ncrna:unclassified sequences RAGATH-9 RNA